ACUCCGAGACCACCCACAGAACCGCCUCGGCGUCCUCUAUAUUCUCCCCAAAGGAAUCGAGCCGGGGUGCUCAUAAUCGUCUCCAAAUUCGCCGUUUCUUCUUCAACUCCGGCGACCAAAUUCUUCAAUUCCGGCCGCUCUCGUCCUCCUCCGACCAAACCGAGCCCGCCUUCAUCUUCCUGGUGCAUGUCGCCGGCGAUGUCUCGGCGAAUCUCCGGCCAUCCUUCUACCUCUCGCUGGUCCGUCACGCUAAGGCGCAGCUCCGACACCAGCCGCCUCGUCUCGGUUCGACCUUCCCCAUCGUCCCCGUGCAUGAUCUGCAAGUCAUGGCUGUUCUGGCCCGUGAGCUUCGCUUGGACUUGGUUAAGUUGUCGCGCACCAUCCUCUUAAUACGAUCUGUAUUAGCAGCGCAGUGGUUUGUCUCGUGAUCCAUCACGCAGUAGAUCAUGUGCUCAAAUCCCAGGUGCAGCGAUUAACCACAACCUUUUUGUUUCCCAGAUCCGUUGAUGGACUUUGAGCCAAUUUGAUCCGGUGCAACUUGCAGCCCAGCACGCCAGGCCGCAUCUCUUCGGACUAGAUCCGGCCCACCUCGCCAGGCGCGGCAGCAUUUGCUUCUUCUCGGAUAGGAACGCGAAGUGGUGUUGUGAGAUACGAC